CCUACGGGGGGCAGCAGUGGGGAAUAUUGGACAAUGGGCGAAAGCCUGAUCCAGCCAUGCCGCGUGUGUGAAGAAGGCCUUCGGGUUGUAAAGCACUUUCAGUGGGGAAGAAAGCCUUGGGGCUAAUACCCUCGAGGAAGGACAUCACCCACAGAAGAAGCACCGGCUAACUCCGUGCCAGCAGCCGCGGUAAUACGGAGGGUGCGAGCGUUAAUCGGAAUUACUGGGCGUAAAGCGCGCGUAGGCGGUCUGAUAAGCCGGUUGUGAAAGCCCCGGGCUCAACCUGGGAACGGCAUCCGGAACUGUCAGGCUAGAGUGCAGGUGAGGAAGGUAGAAUUCCCGGUGUAGCGGUGAAAUGCGUAGAGAUCGGGAGGAAUACCAGUGGCGAAGGCGGCCUUCUGGACUGACACUGACGCUGAGGUGCGAAAGCGUGGGUAGCAAACAGGAUUAGAUACCCUAGUAGUC
rnacentral:rRNA from 1 species